AUAAGGGCUGCAUAGGAAGUACCAUACUAUAAUUAUCAAAAUAUGAUCUUUUAUUAGAUUAAAAAGAAUAAUUUCAAAUAGAUAAAAAAUAAUAAUUGGGUGAUGAUAAGUCACACACAAUACAAGUACCGAGUCAAAACAGAAACAUGUAACAAAACUUAUGAAGGAGGGAAGAAACGGUUGAGGUUAAAGGGGAGAGUGUAGAACUCCUUGCCAGAAACUCUAUCAGGUGUUUGAUCAGACCCAACAUGACAUAUCCUGCAGAUACUUUGCCCAUUAUCACUUUCUCCUCCACAACUACUCAAAUCCACCACGUGGAACUCCUCCGCCUUUUCCUUUGCUGAAGCAUCACUCUCUCUAAGAACAGAAGCUGAGACACGUGUUGAAGUAUCCUUCUCUACCUCAUGAACAACGUUACAGCAUCCAACACCAUCUUUGCCCAUUCUUGAAUCAUUUUCAUCUCGUUGUUGCCGUUUAGUCUCGCUUUGUUCAACCAACACAUGUUUUGAGACAGAGUCACUGGUUUCACCCUUGACAAGCACAGAUCCACUCGAACUUUCACAAACACUGAUCGAUCUCAAACAACUUUCCGGGUCCAUUUUUUUGCUCCAAAAAAGACAAAAGGGUUUUCAGUUCCCAGGUUCCUACAAAGUUCGAGAUCAAGUAUGACUGUAAUCAGACAAAGUGUGAACAGAAACAGCAUUGCCCUUAAACUGAAAACAAUGUAAAUUGCUCAAAAAAUCAAAACUUUACCAGAAUCCAGAUCCGCUUGAGAGAAAAGAGACGAACUUUAUGAACCAGAGGAACAAUAAAAUCUCAACAAAGGUUUCGUUUUGUUUCAGCUUUAUGCCUCAACGGAAGAAAAAUAAUAAAAAAAACUCGCAUCAGAGAUCCCUUGAGGGAAAACGUCGCUACAGUUACUCUAAUCAGCUACUCUUCGGUUGAAGUUUCUUCUUCUUUGCAAUUUGUCUGUCUGUCUGUUUCGGUAAGCACGAGCUAACAGAAGAUUUGGUUGGUACCCUUUUCUCUUAAAUAUAUAAUAAAUAAAUAAAUAAGCAUAAGUAAGUUUGGUGAAGAUGAUUUAUCAACUCUAAUUCUAUUUAAUUAAUUAGCAAAACCUUGUUGCCAAAAUAAAUACUAAAUAAAAUGGCUACUAUUAUAUUGUAAUCAUAUUCCUUCCUUUUUGUACUAAGCAUUGGUCAGACAAAUUUAAUAAGAAGUUAAUAAUAGAGAACACAUAUUUGUAUAACUUAACAAUUUAAGAUAUAAUUUAAUUAACUAAAAUUAAUUUAUCAAGAAAAUUUGAUCAUUAAUCACAUAGGACUUAAUUAAUCAUCUUGACUAUGGGAUCUUUAUGUACUCCACAUAUUUAUAAAUUUAAAAGUGAUUUUGACCCAAAAAGAACUAUAUAAAUUCAAAUAUUUGGUAGGUAUAGCCAGAAAGAGAAAAAGAACAUUAUUGGACGAUUAAAGUGAAACACUAAACCGGCAAAACCAUUAUAGACUACUCUGAAAAGUUCAUACCUACCCUCCUAUACCAACCAGAAGCAAAUAUGAAUCAAUAAUGAAUAGCAUAGAGAUUGUAAAUCCAUUUAUGGCUACAAAGCUUAAAAAUCUAAAAGACAUUUUACCACCCAACCCAUAUUAGAUUUUAGUAGAGAUAAGGGCUGCAUAGGAAGUACCAUACUAUAAUUAUCAAAAUAUGAUCUUUUAUUAGAUUAAAAAGAAUAAUUUCAAAUAGAUAAAAAAUAAUAAUUGGGUGAUGAUAAGUCACACACAAUACAAGUACCGAGUCAAAACAGAAACAUGUAACAAAACUUAUGAAGGAGGGAAGAAACGGUUGAGGUUAAAGGGGAGAGUGUAGAACUCCUAAUUCCUGCUAUCUCCUUUGAAUGUUCUGAACUUAGCCCACCAAGGCAACCCUCUGUCUUUAGCACUCUCUUUGUAAUCCAGAGUAUUGUCCAAGAACACUGCGAUCAUCAGCGCCACCAUUGGU
rnacentral:lncRNA from 1 species